CCUACGGGGGGCAGCAGUAAGGAAUAUUGGACAAUGGUCGCAAGACUGAUCCAGCCAUGCCGCGUGAAGGAUGACGGCCUAUGGGUUGUAAACUUCUUUUGUAUGGGAAAUGGUACCAUAAGAAUAAGGAUCGGCUAACUCCGUGCCAGCAGCCGCGGUAAUACGGAGGAUCCAAGCGUUAUCCGGAUUCAUUGGGUUUAAAGGGUGCGUAGGCGGAAUGAUAAGUCAGUGGUGAAAUCCUGCAGCUUAACUGCAGAACUGCCAUUGAUACUGUCAAUCUUGAGUAUAUUUGAUGUGGGCGGAAUGUGUCAUGUAGCGGUGAAAUGCUUAGAUAUGACACAGAACACCGAUUGCGAAGGCAGCUCACAAAUAUAACUGACGCUGAGGCACGAAAGCGUGGGUAUCAAACAGGAUUAGAUACCCUUGUAGUC
rnacentral:rRNA from 1 species